rnacentral:rRNA from 1 species
UCUGGUUGAUCCUGCCAGUAGUCAUAUGCUUGUCUCAAAGAUUAAGCCAUGCAUGUCUAAGUAUAAGUUCUGUACUGCGAAACUGUGAAUGGCUCAUUAUAACAGUUAUUAUUCCCUGGCCGGUCAGUGAUUCCUUGGAUACCCAUGGUAAUUCUAGAGCUAAUACAUGCUUAAAAACCCGACUUCUUGAAGGGUUGCGCUUAUUAGAUACCGAACCAACCCAGGCUCCGUCUGGUUUUCGUUGAUUCAUAGUGUUCUGGCGAAUCGACUCGCAAGAGACGAUGAGGCUAUCAAGUUUCUGACCUAUCAGCUUCCGACGGUAGGAUAUUGGCCUACCGUGGCUUUGACGGGUAACGGAGAAUUAGGGUUCGAUUCCGGAGAGGGAGCCUGAGAAACGGCUACCACAUCUAAGGAAGGCAGCAGGCGCGUAAAUUACCCAAUCCUGACACAGGGAGGUAGUGACAAGAAAUAUCAAUAUAAGACUUUCUGUCUUGUAAUUGGGAUGAGCGAAACUUAAAGCGCUUCUCGAGUAUCAAUUGGAGGGCAAGUCUGGU